UCGCCACGUAGCCCCUAGUUAGAUAGUAUAUAUAGAGACAGGAGUGAAGGCUUCUUCACUCUUGUCAACUCCUUUCUUGGUUCUAGUCUAGUUUCAAGGGUCUCUAGUUUUCUUGUCUUUUGGUAAUAGCCAUUCCAAUUCCUCUUUCAAUAUAUAUACUUGUUUAUAUAUAUUUUGUUACAUCUCUUUGAGUGAAGGCUCACUUGACUGAAUUAUUUUUUCAUCGAGUUCUUGUCCUUGACACUAGAGGCUUAUCACC
rnacentral:lncRNA from 1 species